GCGAAUCUGGUACCGGGACUUGGGGAGCGAGGGAUGCAACAUGGUGCAUCUGGGAGGCCUGCUAACUGGCUAACUUCUCCGGCGUUCCUCCCGGCCGAGGCGUGGGCACAGAAUAGCGCAGGUUUCCAAGAUGCCUUUCCAGACUAAAACCCACACAUGUGAGCCGCUGGCCGGACAAACAUCUGGCACCUAACGUGGGGCUGAAAAACAGCAGAGGACAUUUGGAAGAAACACUGCUGGUUUGGAGCUCCAUAGAAGAAGAAAAUAAUUAAAGGAAAUUCAUACCAGAGAAGGAAGCUGCAGCUCCUCUCCUCUGGAUCUUUAUGACCACACCAGGAAGCAUUGUGAUCUGCAGUCACUGCCAACCUGCAGGAUAACACAGCUUGUUCCUCUGGGAACUGCCCUGCAGUGUCUGCAUACAGCCACCCUCGACCUGUCUGCCUGGUCUUUGCAACCUCUAGUGGCUGUUGUUCCACAAUGUGUUGUGAAGAGACCUGAAUGGUUUGCACCAAAACACAAACACAAACCAUUGGGAGAGUGAUUGGUGAAGUGAUGGACAUUUACUCGGGCAAAGGCAUGCAUGUAAAAUAGUCCCUAUCUGGAUGGACCUACGCCUGUGGCAGGAAGUUCACUGGUCAAUUACCUGCUGACUGAAGUGGCCUAUUUUCUUCUGACCCCCUGCUUCUCUCUUCCCCUCUCCGCCCUGAAAGCUGUUUGGGCAUAGGGAGGUCUUGACCUGAGGAAACCAUCUUGGGUAACCAAGGCAAGGAAAGGGAAUAUGCAACACCUAGGAGAUUUCAGCAAACAGUAGAAUCAUGCCAACGUAAUCUGUGUUAAAAUGCUUGGAAUGUGGGAGCCGCCGGUGAUGUCUGUUGUCUGUGUGUCUCCAGUAAUCCUUUCUUUUUUAAGUGCAGCAAAGCCAAGCCUGGAAACCAGGCCAAGCGCCUGCCACUUACCUUAAAUUUAUCAGCCACUUUGAGAUUAAAACCCCUGAAAGCUGCUGCACAGUGAAAGCAAGGCCUCCUUCACAUUAAAGGCAAAUCGCAACUCU
rnacentral:lncRNA from 1 species